AUUAGGUUAACUUAGACGAGAAAAGUUUUAGAUUUCACAUUCCCCACUGAUGGCGAGCAUAGUUUCACCGUUUCCCCUUCUCAUUUUGACCUUUCCCCCCCUUUUUUUUUCAACUUUUCGCCUUUGAUUGCAAGCGCGGGUUCCUAUUCUUAACUCCAGAACAUGAGCAUAAAGAGUUGGAUCGAGACUACAACGAGCCCAGCUUCUCUGACAAACGACUAGCUUUAGCUUUCUCUGUGUACCCUUUUUUGUGCGACGUGUGACAAGGGUUCAGUUUCUUUGACAAGGGACGUAGCCAGCUUUGCGAACCCCUUUUUGUGACUGCGAACAAAGUUCCAAAAAAGCGAAUUGCGAGAGUCGCCCUUUUCUUUGCGAACAGCCGAUUCUGGACAUUGCAAGGGGUUUGGGUUUGCAAUAGGUGGAUUUCUGAAGCAUCAAGGUUCUUAAGCAAUUAUUGAGGUUGGAUGCUUAACACCUUGAUUCUCAUCGUUGUUUGGUAUGCUUUAUUUCUAUGAAGAUCAAACCAACAAAUCAAAGAAUUUGUAAACAAGAGGAGAUCUUUACAAUAUUUCUCUUGUGGACUAUGGCUUGGAUCUCACUCUUACUAGGAUCAUUAGGUUCAAUUGUAUAGUUUAGAAUGUAAUGACAGUGAAUAGACUAGUUAUAAACAUCUUGGGCUUGUAUUAUGAUAUUAUGUGUAUCUUGAACUUU